GACGAACGCUGGCGGCGUGCUUAACACAUGCAAGUCGAACGGAAAGGCCCUGCUCUUGUGGGGGGCUCGUGUGGCGCACGGGUGAGUAUCACGUGUGUAACCUGCCCUCGACUUUGGGAUAACUCAAGGAAACUGGGGCUAAUACCGCAUAGGAGCUCCUGCUGCAUGGUGGGGGUUGGAGAGUGUCGGCGGAUGGGGAUGGACUGGCGGCUUAUCAGCCUGUUGGUGGGGUAGGGGCUUACCAAGGCUUUGACGGGUAGCCGGCCUGAGGGGGUGACCGGCAACAAGAGGGCUAAGGGACGGCCCAGAAGGCUACGGGAGGCAGCAGUGGGGAGUAUUGCACAAUAGGGGGAAGCCUGAUGCAGCAACGCCGCGUGCGGGAUGACGGCCUUCGGGUUGUAAACCGCUGUCGCCUGUGACGAAGCGUGAGUGACGGUAAUGGGUAAAGAAGCACCGGCUAACUACGUG
rnacentral:rRNA from 1 species